AAAGACCUGUAUCUUUUUUAGGGGAUCAUCAGGAAAUGAAAAUUUGUUGUGGCAAUAUAAAUCAAGGCUGCUGUUUCUGGUGAAGGUCAGAAGGUAAGCAACAGAAUCCUGGUUCCUUGGUUUAGGACUGGAAUGUUUAGCUGAUGCAUACAUAGUUGGUGGGACAAAGGAUACAUUUCUGAUCUGAUCCUCAGACACUGUCAGAAACGAACGAAUAAAUAAGAAUUUCAAGCCCAUGGGAAAUCAUGAGGUCGCAGAUUCUAGCUUCUGAAUUAACAAUUAACUUUGGUAUGCCAUGACUUGAAUUCUAAUUUAUUGCAAAACAGAAUAUUGAGAAAAGAUCCACAGUGUGUACAAAUGCAGAGAGCAGAAUUCAAGCCAAUCUGAUUUUGAUUUUUUUUUUUUUUUUGGUUUGAGAUAGGAAAGCAGCUGUUUGUUUAUGGUCAAUUAAAGAUAUUUAUUUUUAUUGAUUUUAGAGAGGAAGAGUGAGGGGUGUAUGUAGGGAUCAAGCUGGUAAC